CCCGAAGUUCAGACUUGGGCGGCGUCCAUUGGUCGUCCACGCCCGGUGGAUCUGCUUGAGCCUCGAUCUGUGGGCCUCGAUCUCCCCGUCCACCGGCGCCAGGAGCCGACCACCCUUCUCGUGGCUCAUUCCUGCUCGCUCUGCCGCUCCAGCUCCCGUCCUCGCCCGCUCUCCCCACCUUGGGGACGCAUCGGCGUGGGCCAGUCAGGUGCCUGGGCGCGAGAGGGGCCGAGAGGGGCCCGUCAUCGCUCCUCCGGUCUGGUGGGAGGCGGGCACCGCCCACUGGGUCGGUGCGUCCUCCGCCGCCAGGCACCCGCCAGUGCGCUCAGAGAGAGCGACCUGCAAGGGUCGGACGGGGGAGUCAUACCGUACCCGCGGGGGCCGGUCUCAGGUACCUCUCCUCCCCCCCCCCCCCCGCCGGGUGCCGACCGCUCGGGCACCAGCCCUUUGCUGACGCGACUUGCUCCUGGGAUGUGGGAGCUGGCCGGGAUAGAGAGGUCGCAGACCCCAGCCUGGGACCCUGGCGCCCACUUGCUCUCCUCUCCGUCUGUCCGCCCAUGACCGCGCGCGCCCUCCUUUCCUCCUUCUCCUCUCAACCGCGACCUCAGAUCAGACGUGACGACCCGCUGAAUUUAAGCAUAUUAGUCAGCGGAGGAAAAGAAACUAACCAGGAUUCCCUCAGCAACGGCGAGUGAACAGGGAAGAGCCCAGCGCCGAAUCCCCGUCGAGUGCCGUGGCGCGGGAAAUGUGGCGUAUGGAAGACCCACUCCCCGGCGCCGCUCGUGGGGGGCCCAAGUCCUUCUGAUUGAGGCCCAGCCAGUGGACGGUGUGAGGCUGGUAGCGGGCCCAGGGGCGCCGGGCCCGGAUCUUCCCGGAGUCUGGUUGCUUGGGAAUGCAGCCCAAAGCAGGUGGAAACUCCAUUUAAGGCUAAAUACCGGCACGAGACCUAUAGCCAACAAGUACUGUAAGGAAAAGUGGAAAAGAACUUUGAAGAGAGAGUUCAAGAGGGCGUGAAACCGUUAAGAGACCCUGUGAGAGAGAGACCCAACCGCCUGGUCAGGUGGGCACUCCUGAGGCUGCAGAGCGGAAGAGACCACCAACACUGCUCACCCCUGCCCAUAUCCCUGGCCCAAGAGGAAACUGUAUAAGGCCUCUGGGAUCCCGUGGAGGAGGGCCCAGGAGCGGCAGGACCCCUGCCUGAGACACCACCAGAACCUGAAGGAAACAGACCGGAUAAACAGUUCUCUGCACCCAAAUCCCGUGGGAGGGAGAGCUGAACCUUCAGAGAGGCAGACAAGCCUGGGAAACCAGAAGAGACUGCUCUCUGCACACACAUCUCAGACGCCAGAGGAAAAAGCCAAAGACCAUCUGGAACCCUGGUGCACUGAAGCUCCCGGAAGGGGCGGCACAGGUCAUCCUGGUUGCUGCUGCUGCAGAGAGCCUGUGGGCAGCACCCCACAAGCGAACUUGAGCCUCGGGACCACAGGUAAGACCAAAUUUUCUGCUGCAAGAAAGCUGCCUGGUGAACUCAAGACACAGCCCCACAGGAGCAGCUGAAGACCUGUAGAGAGGAAAAACUACACGCCCGAAAGCAGAACACUCUGUCCCCAUAACUGACUGAAAGAGAGGAAAACAGGUCUACAGCACUCCUGACACACAGGCUUAUAGGACAGUCUAGCCACUGUCAGAAAUAGCAGAACAAAGUAACACUAGAGAUAAUCUGAUGGCGAGAGGCAAGCGCAGGAACCCAAGCAACAGAAACCAAGACUACAUGGCACCAUCAGAGCCCAAUUCUCCCAUCAAAACAAACAUGGAAUAUCCAAACACACCAGAAAAGCAAGAUCUAGUUUCAAAAUCAUUUUUGAUCAUGAUGCUGGAGGACUUCAAGAAAGAUGUGAAUAACUCCCUUAGAGAACAAGUAGAAGCCUACAGAGAGGAAUCGCAAAAAUGCCUGAAAGAAUCGCAAAAAUCCCUGAAAGAAUUCCAGGAAAACAUGUGGGGUUGAAAAGGCUUGGCCAGGUCUGCCAUUACAAAACUAAUGCUGGGAUAAAAACAACAUAAUACACAAAAUAAAAGCCAUAGGGAGCUAAACUUGUGGGGCAUUAAACUUAAAAUUGGUAAAACAAAGUCCUUUGAGAGAUGUUUUGAGAUUAAAAACAAAAAAUGUUUUCUAUAUUUGGGAUGAGGGAAAGUACAAUGACACAGGGUAUAUAGAUUUCAUAUGAUCUUGCUUUGUGUAUAAGCAUGCAAAUGACUAUAUUUCAAUCAUUAUAGUUCUCUAUGUCCUCUUUGGGAGAAAUCAGAAUAAGGAAGAUGUGGGAGAUUGAGAAAUUACAUACUAGAUUAAAGAUCAUAAAACAGAGGUUGAAAGCAUCUUUAAAUCAAAACAGGAAACCCUCAGAAGAAUACAAUCUGUAAUUUACUAUAGUAAAAUCAAAAAAUGUAGUUCCAGUUAGAAUGGUUCCACAGGAGCUUGAGAAAUUAGGAUGGCAGCUCAUAGGCAUAUAAUAUAUUGAAAUAAGAAUACAGAUUCUGCUUAUUAAUCCUAAAUAAAAGCAAUGCCAUACAAUAGGUUGUGUUGUAAUUUUAUUUGGAAAAUUUGAUACAGUGUAACAUUGGUAAAUGUUACAAUGGCUUUCUGCCUUGAGUUCUGAGGAGGAUAAUGCUGAGAUUACACAUUUAUUAGAAAUGAAGGCUAUCUUAGAUAUACCUUUAAAGAUUAAAACUGAUGAUGCUUAGCAAUAGAGGUUCAUUAAAAUACAAUUUCAUGGGCAUUAUGGCAUGAAGCCUAUUCCAGAUGAAGUUUACAAUCCUACAGGUUAAGCCUUUAUAAAAAGGCCUAACAAUGUUUUGUUGUUGAAAUAGGCUAUAAAUAGAAGUCCUUCAAACACUCAGAAAAUAUGGCACUUAAACAUAAUUUUAUUAAUUUAAGAACUUUGUUGAUAUUGAAACUGAAAGAUACCUGUUUGAUAUUAGUGUAGCCAUUUCUUUUUUUUUUUUUCUCUCCAUCUUUAUUUACUUGGGUAUUUCUUAUUUACAUUUCAAUUGUCAUUCCCUUUCCUGGUUUCUGGGCCAACAUCCCCCAACUCCUCCUACUUCCCUUCUAUAUGGGUGUUCCCCUCCCCAUCUCCCAGCCAUUACCACCCCCACAACAAUCACUUUAACUGUGGGUUCAGUCUUCGCAGGACCAAGGGCUUCCCCUGCCACUGGUGCUCUUACAAGUCUAUUCAUUGCUACCUAUGCAGUUGGAGGCCAGGUUCAGUCCACGUAUAGUCUUUGGGUAGUGGCUUAGUCCCUGGAAGCUCUGGUUGGUUGGCAUUGUUGUUCAUAUGGGGUCAUGAGUCCCUUCAAGGUCUUCCAGUCCUUUUUCUGAUUCCUUCAAUGGGGGUCCCGUUCUCAGUUCAGUGGUUUGCUGCUGACAUUUGCCUAUGUAUUUGCCAUACUAUGGCUGUGUCUCUCAGGAGAGAUCUACAUCCGGUUCCUGUCGGCCUGCACUUCUUUGCCUCAUCCAUCUUAUCUAGUUUGGUGGCUGUAUAUGUAUGGGCAACAUGUGGGGCAGGCUCAGAUGGGUGUUCCUUCAGUCUCUAUUCUAAACUUUGCCUGCCAAGGGUAUUCUUGUUCCCCUUUUAAGGAGUGAAGUAUUCACAUUUCGGCCAUCCUUCUUGAGUUUCAUGUCUUCUGUGCAUCUAGGGUAAUUCGAGCAUUUGGGCUAAUAUCCACUUAUCAAUGAGUACAUACCACGUGUGUUUUUCUGUGAGUGGGUUACCUCACUCAGGAUGAUAUUUUCCAGAUCCAUCCAUUUGCCUAUGAAUUUCAUAAAGUCAUUGUUUUUGAUAGCUGAGUAGUAUUCCUUUGUGUAGAUAUCCCACAUUUUCUAUAUCCAUUCCUCUGUUGAAGGGCAUCUGGGUUCUUUCCAGCUUCUGGCUAUAAUAAAUAAGGCUGCUAUGAACAUAGUGGAGCAAAUGUCUUUGUUAUAUGUCGGAGCAUCUUUUGGGUACAUGCCCAAGAGAGGUAUAGCUGGGUCCUCAGGUAGUUUCCAAUUUGCUGAGGAACCUCCAGACUGAUCUCCAAAAUGGUUGUACCAGUCUGCAAUCCCACCAAAAAUGGAGGAGUGUUCCUCUUCCUCCACAUCCUUGCCAGCAUCUGCUGUCACUUGAGUUUUUGAUCUUCGCCAUUCUCACUGGUGUGAGGUGGAAUCUCAGGGUUGUUUUGAUAUGCAUUUCCCUUAUGACUAAAGAUGUUGAACAUUUCUUUAGGUGUUUCUCAGCCAUUCGGCAUUCCUCAGCUGUGAAUUCUUUGUUUAGCUCUGAACCCCAUUUUUUAA